rnacentral:tRNA from 1 species
GGGGCGGUGGCGGAAUCGGCAGACGCAGCGGACUUAAAAUCCGCCGGUGGAGACACCUUGAGGGUUCGAUCCCCUCUCGCCCCA